GAGGGUAUAGCUCAGUGGCAGAGUGUGUGCUUAGCAUGCAUAAAGUCCUAGGUUCAAUCCCCAGUACUUCCA
rnacentral:tRNA from 1 species